rfam:Nosema apis BRL 01 unplaced genomic scaffold scf7180000046871, whole genome shotgun sequence.
GGUCUAGUAGUGUAAUGGCGAUCACCUUGGACUUUGAAUCCAAUAAUCCGAGUUCGAAUCUCGGCUGGACCU